UAGUGUGUUUAACUUGCUGGGGAAAUCUCAUUUUUAUUCCACUCUGUUAUUCCAAUUCUAGAUAUGAUUAUACCGUUAAUUUUCAUAAAAUACCUAAGGAUGUGAGUUUAAUAAAGGAAAGGAUUGUGAAAAUAAGAUGGAUGAAAGAACAAUUCAAGAUCAAUAUUUUGCAAUAGUUGCUCGUUUUGAAGCAUUUCACACAAGAAUUACAAUCAUGGACAUAAAUUCAUAUAUGUCUGAAGAGAAUAGAUGUACCCUGUAGAUGGUUCGACUAGAGUAAUAAUGAGCAGACCAGUAAGAUGAACACUAAAGAAGAAGAUUUCAUUACCAGAUGAAAGGUUCCAUUGGUAACUGUCAUGAACACAAAUUGACAACUGGUAUUUGAAUCGCCUUAAAUUGUAAUAUCUCUUCAUGGCAGUGGCGUAACAGAUGAAAAAGAAACUAUCAAACAUUUUAAAGAAGAAUUACAGAAAACCUAGGAAGAAAACAAACAGUGAUAUUAAACGUUUGAUACAAACAAAUUUUCAAAUGUUGACAGUUGUAUAUUUUGUAAUGUUAUACAGGAUUUCCAACAAAAUUUACUAUAUAUUCAUCACAGUUUUCAAUGUGUAAAACAUCAGCAAAAACAUUAAGAGCGUUUAUUAUGAUG